rnacentral:rRNA from 1 species
GCUGUGGGAUUUGGAUCGUUUACUUUGAAAAAAUUAGAGUGUUCAAAGCGGGCUUACGCUUGAAUAUUUCAGCAUGGAAUAACACUAUAGGACUCCUGUCCUAUUUCGUUGGUCUCGGGACGGGAGUAAUGAUUAAGAGGAACAGUUGGGGGCAUUCGUAUUUCAAUGUCAGAGGUGAAAUUCUUGGAUUUUUGAAAGACGAACUUCUGCGAAAGCAUUUGCCAAGGAUGUUUUCAUUAAUCAAGAACGAAAGUUGGGGGCUCGAAGAUGAUUAGAUACCAUCCUAGUCUCAACCAUAAACGAUGCCGACUAGGGAUUGGCGGAUGUUAAUUGAUGACUCCGCCAGCACCUUAUGAGAAAUCAAAGUUUUUGGGUUCCGGGGGGAGUAUGGUCGCAAGGCUGAAA